UUUGUCUGCAUUUUCAAUAUCACCUAAAUUUCUUUGUUCAGUGGACAGCAUCACUUUGUGACCUCUGUUCCCUAACAGUAUUGACAUCAUAGUUUGGCCAGCAAAGGAUAUUCCAGUAUUAAAUUAUUCAACCCAAGCUCAAGAUACAACACUGAAAUAUCUUAGUAGGGAGAGGACAUCAUCUAACAAAAGAACAAGAUGACGUUAGACGCACUUAACCGUGAUAAUGCAGAAACUAAAUCAACGAUUUGAAAGAAUUCUAUGUUAUUAUAGAAGGUAGAGGAACAUAGUGUGCCUGCAUAUCACAAUACAAGAACAAGUUAAUAUCUCGCAUCUUUUUUUGUUCAAAAAAAAAAGAUGGA